AAUCUUGACUUUACACUAGCUCUAGUGUUCUUUAUGUCACUUUAUGUUGCCACUCUAGCAAUCGUUGUUCUUUACGUUUCCUUUACUCUUGCUAUCUUUAGCAUUCUUGUUCUUUACAUUUCUUAUUCUUAUUGCCCCACUUUACUUUAACUUUACACAUUGUCAUUAUCAUCAUUCUUUACAUCACUUUGGUUCUUUGACUCACACUAACUCUAGUGUCACUUUACUUUACGUUUUUCAAAUGCCACUCGAUCUAUGUCAUAGUGCCACUCUGUUCUUUUGCUCACUUUGGGUGCUCACUUUUCUCUCAU
rnacentral:lncRNA from 1 species